rnacentral:rRNA from 1 species
CGCGAGGGACGGCGCCGCCCCGGGGCUCGUGAUAUCUUAUCUCGCCGCCCGUCGCGAGGCGGACGGAGGGGAUGGAUGAGGUUACCUGGAAAAAAUCGGGGCGAUCUAGGCGGGCGAACCUCGCCAACGAACGAUCGGACAUGGGGAUAACGGAAGAGGGCGUCGGCUCGACUUCGUCGGUUCCUCGGGCCGAGGCACGUACGGUGAAUAGGGACGGUCGGGGCCGCCCGUACCGGGUCGUGAGAGGUGAAAUUCUAGGAUCGACCCGAGACGAACUGCCGCGAAAGCAUUCGGCAAGGACGCUUUCAUUAAUCAAGAACGAAAGUCGGGGGAUCGAAGACGAUCAGAUACCGUCGUAGUCCCGACCGUAAACGAUGCCGACCGAGGGCCCGGAGGAGUUACGUACGACCCUCCGGGCCCUCCCGCGAGAAAAUCAGGAGUAUUCGGGUUCCGGGGGGA